rnacentral:rRNA from 1 species
AGCGAACGCUGGCGGCAGGCCUAACACAUGCAAGUCGAACGAAGUCUUCGGACUUAGUGGCGGACGGGUGAGUAACACGUGGGAACGUGCCUUUAGGUUCGGCAUAACUCAGGGACACGUGUGCUCAUACCGACUGUGCCCUUCGGCGGAAAGAUUGAGGCCCGUUAGAGCGGCCCGCGUCGGAAUAGCUAGUGGGUGAGGCAAAGGCUCACCAAGGCUACGAUCAGUAGCUCGUCUGAGAGGAUGACCAGCCACAUUGGGACUGAGACACGGCCCAAACUCCUACGGGAGGCAGCAGUAGGGAAUCUUGCGCAAGGGGCGAAAGCCUGACGCAGCCAUGCCGCGUAGAUGAUGAAGGUCUUAGGAUUGUAAAAUCCUUUCACCGGUGAAGAUAAUGACUGUAGCCGAAGAAGAAGCCCCGGCUAACUUCGUGCCAGCCGCCGCGGUAAAAC